rnacentral:rRNA from 1 species
CAGGAAGGAUUGACAGAUUGAUAGCUCUUUCUUAAUUUCUGUGGGUGGUGGUGCAUGGCCGUUCUUAGUUCGUGGAACUGAUCUGUCAGCUUAAUUGCGUUAACGAACGAGACCUUUAAUUAUUAAUUAGUUAAAUAUAUAGUAAUAUAUACUUUAAAAAGAAAGAUAGAUUUUUAUUUUUCUUUUCUCUGACUUCUUAAAAUAACAAUUGGUGAUUAACCAAAGUAAGUUAAAGGCAAUAACAGGUCUGUGAUGCCCUUUAGAUGUUCUGGGCUGCACGCGCGUUACACUGAAAAUAUCAAUAAGUUUUUAUAUAUCCAAACAAUUAUAUUUUAUAUAUUUGUUUUGAUAUGUCCUUGAUUGAAAAAUUUGGGUAAACUUGAUAACUAUUUUCGUGAUGGGGAC